UCUAACGUGGCAGAUAAGUGCGGUGGAUUUAAGCUCCAAAUAUAAAGCUUCAGGCUUUCAUUAGAA
rnacentral:tRNA from 4 species